CCAGCUCCAAUAGCGUAUAUUAAUGUUGUUGCAGUUAAAAAGCUCGUAGUUGAAUUUCUGAUUAAAAUAUUAGCUGGCUUUGGUCGUUAAUAUUUUAUUCAUCCGUUAGAGAACUAUAGCCGUCCUUAACUGGUCACUAUAGAGAUCUAACAUUUUACUUUGAAAAAAUUAGAGUGUUCAAGGCAGGCAAUCGUCAUGAAUACUAUAGCAUGGAAUAAUGGAAUAGGACUUUGGUUCAUUUUAUUGGUUAUUGAACCUUAGUAAUGAUUAACAGGGACAGUUGGGGGCAUUAGUAUUUAAUUGUCAGAGGUGAAAUUCUUGGAUUUAUUAAAGACUAACUUAUGCGAAAGCAUUUGCCAAGGAUGUUUUCA
rnacentral:rRNA from 1 species